GAUGACUUUUGUUGUCGCAACUGAACCUAUCCUAUUCAGUCACCCCUAAUUGUGCUAUUUUGUACAAAAAACGAAAAAAUAAACCCUAAAGUAACAAAUCUCCUCCUCGUAAAAUCUCUAACUUGCUCCACCUUCUCAACCCCAAAUCAUCUUGAACUUGCUCCUCACUGAAGAGGGUCACACACUAUCGAUGGUGAACACACUCCUUUUUGUCUCAUUAUCCGUCAAAUCGAGCUCUGACUUCCUUCAUCAUUUUUUCCUCUCUAGAUUUUGUGCUCUCUGCUCUGUUGAGGUGAAAAAUCUAAUCCUAUUUCUGUAUUGUGAUGCUUUACGGACUAUGCUCAUAUUCAGGAGAAGCGAUUACAUCUGAUGUUGAUUGGUGCAUUUUUGCGGCAUGAGAUUUAGGGUCAGUGGUUGUAUUAGCUGAGUUUCUCAUGAUUUUUUGGGCUUGAUGUUGGCUAACUCAAUGUGGAGCUACAUAUAGGGAAAACCAAAGGAAAGUAAGCUCUAUUUGACUUUAUUCAUUUGGUGUGGGUAAUUUGUGAUUUGAUUUGUUGAUUUUGUAACUGCAUUUCCUCUGUUAUCGUGGAGAACCAGCUCUUUUGGUUCUUACUUGUUCGUUUAGUAAUUCCAUUGUGUCAUCCGAUGAUGGCAAUUAAAAUUUAAAGAAUGGUUCAAGUUGUAAAUAAAUGUUGAAGGCUAUUUGAAACUAGUGAAUUGACCUAUAUAUGUUGGUCAGUUAAAAUAUAGAAUGAUCUACAAAAAGUUUCCUGGGGAAAAAAGAUGAAAUAAGAAUAGACCUGGAAAGAAAGAAAGGAAAAGCUUGUUGGUAAUACACUAAUACACCUUGGUAUUAGUAGUGGUUGCUUGAAAUAUCUAGAAUAUACAACAAGUGUUCAAAUAAAAAGUAUUCUAAUUAAAACCACUUCACAGAACCUGUGAUAUAUUUUGUGCUAUUGGAUUAUCUAUAAGAUUUUAUCUUUUGUUGUUAUUUUAGUUCAGUUAUUUAUAUUACAGAUAGUGGACAAUUGUAGAGUAUAUUAAACUACCACACUGUUUGCUAUUGUGGUCAUAGACCAGUAAUAACUAAUAAGUAGUUGGUUCAGCUAAAUCUUGCUUCUGCAAUUUGUAUUCUUUUUUCCACAAUUCAGUGAUAUUGAAUAGACUUAAAGAUGUUUAAGUCGCAUGAGGUUGACCUUAUUGUGCACGGAAAAAGGGAUAGAAUUGAUAUUGCACUAUGAACACUUCAUCUCAUAGGAUAUAGUUUUUCUUGUAGGUCUUCUCAACACACUUUAUCUCUGGAAUUUGGUUUAUGAGUUUCUUGAAGUGCACAUCUUAUUCCAACCAAAGUAAUAUGAGAUUAAAGCAUGAAUGCAGUGAAAGGGGGUAACUUUAGUCUUCAUUUUGAUCGUGACUUUAAAAAAGCAUAUUAAUAGGAUUACAUCAUUCCAUUUUUAUGGUAUCAAAAUGUGUUGUCUAACAAAUCUUCCGAAAUUUCUUCUAUAGGUGGUAACGGAACUGUCCAAAGUGUGCGCAAACGAUAACGGCAUGCCGUCUUAUGGAACAUCACAAAGGAGCUGCACAUGCGGAUACGCCAACAUUAUUCCCUAGAGAUUUUGUUCAGGAUUUUUCUCGCACCUGCGACUGCAUUCUAGGAUACGAGAGAAAGUCAUGGUCUUCAGGAGGAAAUGAUUCUAGCCAAGGAGGAGCUCCAAGAUAUUUUAUUUUCAUGUUGUAACUUUUUUGCGUGUUUCAUGUGUGUACACAAAAAACAGGAGUUACGUCUUAUUCCCGAGGAGAUCUUUUAAGGAACUAAGAAUACCACAGAAGAAUGUGUCAUUCUGUUUGAAAAUUGUCUUCAAUGGUGUCUCUUAUAAUGUUAAUGGGUUGUCGUAAUA